UGGGGGAUAUUGCACAAUGGGGGGAACCCUGAUGCAGCGACGCCGCGUGGGUGAAGGAGUGCUUCGGCAUGUAAAGCCCUAUCGGCAGGGAAGAAGCAAGACGGUACCUGACUAA
rnacentral:rRNA from 1 species